rnacentral:rRNA from 1 species
UACGUAGGGUGCGAGCGUUGUCCGGAAUUAUUGGGCGUAAAGAGCUCGUAGGCGGUGUGUCACGUCGGCCGUGAAAACCUGCAGCUUAACUGUGGGCGUGCGGUCGAUACGGGCAUCACUGGAGUUCGGCAGGGGAGACUGGAACUCCUGGUGUAGCGGUGAAAUGCGCAGAUAUCAGGAAGAACACCAAUGGCGAAAGCAGCUCUCUGGGACGGUACUGACGCUGAGACGCGAAAGCGUGGGGAGCGAACAGG